UACAGAGGUGGCAAGCGUUGUUCGGAAUUACUGGGCGUAAAGGGCGAGUAGGUGGCCAUCUAAGUCAGACGUGAAAUCCCCCGGCUUAACCUGGGAACUGCGUCUGAUACUGUACGGCUUGAGUAUGGGAGAGGAACGUAGAAUUCCAGGUGUAGCGGUGAAAUGCGUAGAUAUCUGGAGGAAUACCGGUGGCGAAGGCGGCGUUCUGGACCAUUACUGACACUGAAUCGCGAAAGCUAGGGGAGCAAACGGG
rnacentral:rRNA from 1 species